rnacentral:rRNA from 2 species
GGGUUGUGAGGUUAAGCGACUAAGCGUACACGGUGGAUGCCCUGGCAGUCAGAGGCGAUGAAGGACGUGCUAAUCUGCGAUAAGCGCCGGUAAGGUGAUAUGAACCGUUAUAACCGGCGAUUUCCGAAUGGGGAAACCCAGUGUGAUUCGUCACACUAUCAUUAACUGAAUCCAUAGGUUAAUGAGGCGAACCGGGGGAACUGAAACAUCUAAGUACCCCGAGGAAAAGAAAUCAACCGAGAUUCCCCCAGUAGCGGCGAGCGAACGGGGAGGAGCCCAGAGCCUGAAUCAGCAUGUGUGUUAGUGGAAGCGUCUGGAAAGGCGCGCGAUACAGGGUGACAGCCCCGUACACAAAAGCGCACAUGCUGUGAGCUCGAUGAGUAGGGCGGGACACGUGGUAUCCUGUCUGAAUAUGGGGGGACCAUCCUCCAAGGCUAAAUACUCCUGACUGACCGAUAGUGAACCAGUACCGUGAGGGAAAGGCGAAAAGAACCCCGGCGAGGGGAGUGAAAAAGAACCUGAAACCGUGUACGUACAAGCAGUGGGAGCACCCUUUGGGGUGUGACUGCGUACCUUUUGUAUAAUGGGUCAGCGACUUAUAUUCUGUAGCAAGGUUAACCGUAUAGGGGAGCCGGAGGGAAACC